GUCUUUUUGAGUUUAAUUUAAAGUCUAGUCUGCCCAAUGAUUAUAUGAAUGGCCGCAGUAUUUUGACUGUGCAAAGGUAGCAUAAUCAUUAGUUUUUUAAUUGGAAACUGGUAUGAAUGGCUGAAUGAGAAAAUAACUGUCUCAAUUUAAUUUUUUUAGAAUUUUAUUAUUAAGUUAAAAAGCUUAAAUAAUAUUAAAAGACGAGAAGACCCUAUAGAGUUUAAUAUUAAAUAUUAGUUUAUAUUUAUUUAGUAAUUAUAAAAUUUAAUUAUAUUUUUUAUUUAAUUGGGGUGAUUGUAAAAUUUAAAUAACUUUUAUUUUAUUUUAACAUAAAUUUAUGAUUAUUUGAUCCAGAUUUUUUUGAUUAUAAGAUAAAAUUACCUUAGGGAUAACAGCGUAAUUUUUUUUUAGAGUUCAAAUCGAAAGAAGAGAUUGCGACCUCGAUGUUGGAUUAAAGUUAAUAGUUGGUGAAGAAGCUAAUAUAUUAGGUCUGUUCGACCUUUAAAACUUUACA
rnacentral:rRNA from 1 species